rnacentral:rRNA from 1 species
AGAGUUGAUCAUGGCUCAGAACGAACGCUGGCGGCGCGUCUUAAGCAUGCAAGUCGAACGGCAAGAGGUAGCAAUACCUCCUAGAGUGGCGGACUGGUGAGUAACACGUAGGUGACAUACCCUUCAGAUGGGGAUAGCUAUAGAAAUAGUAGAUAAUACCGAAUACGAGCACAGGGGUUAGAGAUCUGUGAGGAAAGGAGCUAAGGCUCCGCUGAAGGAAUGGCCUGCGGCCCAUUAGCUAGUUGGUGAGGUAAGAGCCCACCAAGGCGAUGAUGGGUAUCCGGCCUUAGAGGGUGAACGGACACAUUGGGACUGAGAUACGGCCCAGACUCCUACGGGAGGUAGCAGCUAAGAAUAUUCCGCAAUGGACGAAAGUCUGACGGAGCGACGCCGCGUGGAUGAAGAAGGCCGGAAGGUUGUAAAAUCCUUUUGAAACUGAAGAAUAAGCGUUGUAGGGAAUGACAGCGUGGUGACAGUAGGUUUUGAAUAAGCAACGGCUAAUUACGUGCCAGCCGCCGC